rnacentral:rRNA from 1 species
UAGGGAAUCUUCCGCAAUGGGCGAAAGCCUGACGGAGCAACGCCGCGUGUGUGAUGAAGGUCUUCGUAUCGUAAAACUCUGUUAUUAGGGAAGAACAAAUGUGUAAGUAACUAUGCACGUCUUGACGGUACCUAAUCAGAAAGCCACGGCUAACUACGUGCCAGCAGCCGCGGAAAUACGUAGGUGGCAAGCGUUAUCCGGAAUUAUUGGGCGUAAAGCGCGCGUAGGGGGUUUUUUAAGUCUGAUGUGAAAGCCCACGGCUCAACCGUGGAGUGUCAUUUGAAACUGGAAAACUUGAGUGCAGAAGAGGAAAGUGGAAUUCCAUGUGUGGCACUGCGAUGCGCGGAGAUAUGGAUAAGCACCAGUGGCGAUGGCGACUUUCUGAUCUGUAACUGACGCUGAUGUGCGCCAGCGUGGGGAUCAAACACG